UACGGAGGGUGCGAGCGUUGUCCGGAAUCAUUGGGCGUAAAGGGCGCGUAGGUGGCGGGACAAGCGUGCGGUGAAAGCUCGGGGCUCAGCCCCGAGUCGGCCGUGCGAACUGUUUUGCUUGAGCACUGUAGAGGCAGGCGGAAUUCCGGGUGUAGCGGUGGAAUGCGUAGAGAUCCGGAAGAACACCGGUGGCGAAGGCGGUCUGCUGGGCAGUUGCUGACACUGAGGCGCGACAGCGUGGGGAGCAAACAGG
rnacentral:rRNA from 1 species